rnacentral:lncRNA from 1 species
GUUUGGGGCCACUGAUUUUGGCACGUCGUGUAGUGAAUUUGGUUCUUGUUGAAAACAAAUUUCACAAUACAUGGGGUUCCAUGAAAAAAAAAAGGUUGUGGCAAACUGUAGGAAGUUUCCAAGUGGUGGUUUGAUGUAAUUUUCUCUUUUAAAAACUACUUCUUUGACAUGAAUUCAUAGUGGCACUAUCGAUUCAACAAAAAAUUAAGUAUGAACAGUCAAGAAAACCAAACAAUUUUGUUGGUACUACUAUCUUUAGGUCCUUUCUGUCGAACCAACUUACAAGAAAAAUAAAAUAAAGAACAAAGACUAUGAGCAGCAAAGCGGAAGGGAUGCGGGAUAGCCUUCACGGAGGGGGAUGAGGAGCUUUUCGAGGACGAGGGCAUAGGCUAGCUAAGGUCGAUGACGGUGGAGGCUUGGAUCCCAGGGAAGCGGCAAAGGCCGCAAUGGCUUGGAUCCCAGGGAAGCGGCGAAGGUGGCAGGUUCUUGGAUCGGUGGUGGGUCAGGGACGGGUGAUGACGACGCACCGCGCCAUGAAUGUAGGGAUGCAAGUGGGAUCCCACUUAAGUCCCACUUCUAGCCAGUUCAUUAGGGAUUUGCUAGUUC